AACGAACGCUGGCGGCAUGCCUAACACAUGCAAGUCGAACGAGACCUUCGGGUCUAGUGGCGCACGGGUGCGUAACGCGUGGGAACCUGCCCUUAGGUUCGGAAUAACUCCCCGAAAGGGGUGCUAAUGCCGGAUAAUGUCUUCGGACCAAAGAUUUAUCGCCUUUGGAUGGGCCCGCGUUGGAUUAGCUAGCUGGUAGGGUAAAAGCCUACCAAGGCGACGAUCCAUAGCUGGUCUGAGAGGAUGAUCAGCCACACUGGGACUGAGACACGGCCCAGACUCCUACGGGAGGCAGCAGUGGGGAAUAUUGGACAAUGGGCGAAAGCCUGAUCCAGCAAUGCCGCGUGAGUGAUGAAGGCCUUAGGGUUGUAAAGCUCUUUUACCCGGGAUGAUAAUGACAGUACCGGGAGAAUAAGCUCCGGCUAACUCCGUG
rnacentral:rRNA from 1 species